rnacentral:rRNA from 1 species
UACAGAGGUCCCAAGCGUUUGUUCGGAUUCACUGGGCGUAAAGGGUGCGUAGGUGGUGAGGUAAGUCGGAUGUGAAAGCUCGGAGCUCAACUCCGAAAUGGCAUUGGAAACUACCUUGCUCGAGGGUUGGAGGGGGGACUGGAAUGCUUGGUGUAGCAGUGAAAUGCGUAGAUAUCAAGCGGAACACCAGUGGCGAAGGCGAGUCCCUGGACAACUCCGUGACACUGAGGCACGAAAGCUAGGGGAGCAAACAGG